rnacentral:rRNA from 1 species
CCUACGGGAGGCAGCAGUGGGGAAUAUUGCACAAUGGGGGAAACCCUGAUGCAGCAACGCCGCGUGAGUGAUGACGGCCUUCGGAUUGUAAAGCUCUGUCUUCAGGGACGAUAAUGACGGUACCUGAGGAGGAAGCCACGGCUAACUACGUGCCAGCAGCCGCGGUAAU